AGAGCCAACCCGUAACAACGCGGAGCGGCCGCCCUAGGAGCAGUCGCUUCCGUCCCCUUCCUCUCUUUCGCUUCGCCUCGCCGAACCCACCACCGCACGACAAGCCGCUGCGUUCCCGACCCUUCUCGCCUCCGCCUCCUCCUACGUGCGCAUCCGGCUCCCACGCGGCCGCUCGAUCCAAGGUCAGAUCCGAACCUUAGCCCGGUCCGAAUCGCGCCGAUAUUUCUUCUAGGUUUUGGCACGGAUCUAGGGUUUGCCGCGGAAUUUCGGGUGGGAUUCGUCCGAUUCGCUCAUGGCCGCUGGGCGCCACGGAGGGCACAGGGACUACGAGGCGAGGGAGCGGGAGCUCGACGCGGAGGCCUCCAGGAGGAGCAAGGAGCACCCGCACCACCACCUCGGCGGCCGCUACCGCGACGCCGACCGCCGCCGCGACGGCGGGCGCAGCAGGGGCGGCAGGGAGUUCUCCAACGGCCACGGCCGCCGACGCUCGCCGCCACCCAGGAGCCGCCUCCCUGGGAGGCUUGUGGACCGGGAGCCCGGAGAGGUGCUGAGCGGCAGCGCGUCUGAUGACUCCGGUGGGAGGUCGCAUAGAGCCAGGGAGAAUGGCGUGUCCAAUUCUAGCAGGGAGGGCGAGAUGGCGGCAGCUGCCACGGCGGGCGCAGCUGUUGCGUCACUGAGCAAGAAGAGGAAAUUCUCGCCGAUAAUUUGGGACAGGGAUAGCCCAAAGCCGCCACAUUCUGAUGCAGCUAGGGGCAAUAAAGUGGUAGAAUCUGUGCCUGCUGAGCUUCCUCCGCCUCCCCCGCUGCCUCCGCAAGAUCACAUCCCUGUGAGGUUGUCUGUGGAGAAGUCGCCUAUGGAUGCGGAGCCUACUGUUGGUAUAGAGAGUGCUGAGCAGUUGCAGGAGCAUGAGGAGAGUCGGGUGAUGGAGGAGGAAGAGGACUACCCAACAAUGAGGAACAUAUCAACUUCAAGAUGGGCGGGUACUAAUGAUGAUGAGGAAGAUGGGGCAGGACCAACGAAGAAGAAAAGUGCAUCACCUGCAGACUCCGCUGAGUUGGGGCUGAGAAAAAAGGCUGCUAGCCCAGAACUUGGUGAGGUUGUCGUCAGUGAUAUCUCUGGAGGGAGGACCAUGUCUAGGUCAUCUGACUCAGGGAGAAUGGGUAAUGAUGAGCAUGAAGAUUUUGAAGUAGAUAAAGAUGACUAUAUGGAUGUCGACAGGGAGAAGGCUAGUGACAGUGAUGCGGAAAAUCAUACGUCAGAUACUGACUCAGAGAAUGAUGCGCGCAGACCUGAAAGUCCUGAACCAGUGAAGCCACCACACAGGUGUAUCAAUAUGCUUCAAGGUUGCAGAAGUGUUGAUGAGUUUGAGAGGCUCAACAAGAUUAAUGAGGGCACAUAUGGUGUUGUAUACAGAGCGAAGGAUAAUAAGACAGGUGAGAUUGUUGCAUUGAAGAAGGUAAAAAUGGAGAAGGAGCGAGAAGGUUUCCCAUUAACCUCCCUUAGAGAAAUAAACAUCCUUUUGUCUUUCCACCAUCCUUCAAUUGUUGAUGUCAAGGAAGUAGUAGUUGGAUGUAGUCUAGAUAGUAUUUUUAUGGUGAUGGAAUACAUGGAACAUGAUCUCAAGGGUGUUAUGGAGACAAUGAAACAACCAUAUACCCAAAGUGAGGUCAAAUGUUUGAUGCUUCAGCUGUUAGAGGGUGUAAAGUAUCUGCAUGACAAUUGGGUGCUACAUAGGGAUCUGAAGACCUCAAAUCUUUUGCUGAAUAACCGCGGUGAGUUGAAAAUAUGUGAUUUUGGACUGUCUCGUCAAUAUGGGAGCCCACUAAAACCUUAUACUCAACUGGUUGUGACUUUGUGGUACAGGGCCCCAGAACUAUUGUUAGGAACAAAGGAGUAUUCUACUGCUAUUGAUAUGUGGUCCGUGGGCUGCAUUAUGGCAGAGCUUCUUGCCAAAGAACCAUUAUUCAAUGGGAAAACAGAGUUUGAACAGCUAGAUAAGAUAUUUAGAACACUUGGUACACCUAAUGAGAAGAUUUGGCCUGGCUAUGCCAAAUUACCAGGUGUCAAAGUCAAUUUUGUCAAACAACCGUAUAACAGGCUAAGGGAUAAGUUCCCAGCUGCAUCUUUUUCUGGGCGACCAAUCCUGUCUGAAGCUGGUUUUGAUCUGUUGAACAGACUGCUAACUUAUGAUCCUGAUAAGCGUAUAUCAGCAGAUGAUGCUCUGAAGCACAAAUGGUUCUCUGAAGUUCCUCUACCUAAAUCCAAGGACUUCAUGCCAACAUUCCCUGCUCUUAACGAACUGGACAGGCGUACCAAACGGUUUAUGAAGAGUCCUGACCCUCUAGAGGAGCAACGUUUGAAAGAAUUGCAGGGGAACAUAGGCAACCGUGGGCUUUUUGGCUGAACUAAAACCACUUGGGAUUUCUGUUCAUCCUAACUGUUAUGCUUCACCCUGAAUCAGCGAGGUCAGAUAUCUUCUGAGGUGAGAUGUGCCAUGGACAUGAAGUAUCACAUCUUCUCCGUGUCUAGCAGCGACUGAUAGUGUUCUUUAGCAGGCUUGAUGCCGGUUUAAGUGGAUAAGGUUUCUCCUUAUGGCCCAUCAUAGAAAUUUUGUUGCAGGAUUAACACUCGCCAUCCAGAUUGAUCAUAAAAGCAAAUAUAUCUGCCUGCAUCGUAAGGUGUGGCGUGUUGGCUUUUAUUGGUUACACCAGUUUCGCCUUUGGAUCUUCUGUAUGUAAAAUAUUCCAGAUUGAGACGAAAGAGGCGCAGUGGAAGGAUGCCUUUUGCUUUUCACCAGGAAAUCAAUGGACAUUAAUACAAAUUGGAAGCUAAGCUGUGGCUGCUUCAAGGUAGGAAGCUUGAUGGCCGUCAGUUUGUUGUACCUAAGUGACUAAAUUUUGUGGAGGGCCUUCAAAAGUGUUCAUCUUUUACUAUAUAGUGAACCAUAGUGGUCAGUCUACUAUCUUUCCUUGUACAUUCAUGUAACCAUUAUUCUAGCUGAUUUGGAGACCAUUCGUCUCUAUUUUUGUUUGCGUAGGUUGUUGCUUAUCUUCCAAUGUCAGUUCUAACUUAGCUUACUGAAAAACACCAAUCAUGUUUCUCUUUAACAGUUAAUAAAGUGAAAGAUAGUAUGUAUUGUUCUA